rnacentral:rRNA from 1 species
AAUGAACGUUGGCGGCGUGGAUUAGGCAUGCAAGUCGUGCGGAAAGGCCCCGCAAGGGGUACUCGAGCGGCGAAAGGGAUAGUAACACGUAGGUACCUACCUCUGGGACGGGGAUAGCCGGGGGAAACUCCGAUUAAUACCCGAUAACAUCUUCGGAUCAAAGGUGUAAUUCCGCCCGGAGACGGGCCUGCGUCCUAUCAGCUAGUUGGUGAGGUAACGGCUCACCAAGGCUAGGACGGGUAGCGGGUGUGAGAGCACGACCCGCAUCACUGGGACUGAGACACUGCCCAGACACCUACGGGUGGCUGCAGUCGAGAAUCUUCGUCAAUGGGCGAAAGCCUGAACGAGCGACGCCGCGUGCGGGAUGAAGGCCUUCGGGUUGUAAACCGCUGUCAGUGGGAAUGAAAUGCCAGGGGGCUCACCCCCUGGUUUGACAGACCCGCAGAGGAAGGACGGGCUAAGUUCGUGCCAGCCGCCGCCGUAAUAC